GGGUUGUGAGGUUAAGCGACUAAGCGUACACGGUGGAUGCCCUGGCAGUCAGAGGCGAUGAAGGACGUGCUAAUCUGCGAUAAGCGCCGGUAAGGUGAUAUGAACCGUUAUAACCGGCGAUUUCCGAAUGGGGAAACCCAGUGUGAUUCGUCACACUAUCAUUAACUGAAUCCAUAGGUUAAUGAGGCGAACCGGGGGAACUGAAACAUCUAAGUACCCCGAGGAAAAGAAAUCAACCGAGAUUCCCCCAGUAGCGGCGAGCGAACGGGGAGGAGCCCAGAGCCUGAAUCAGCAUGUGUGUUAGUGGAAGCGUCUGGAAAGGCGCGCGAUACAGGGUGACAGCCCCGUACACAAAAGCGCAUGUGCUGUGAGCUCGAUGAGUAGGGCGGGACACGUGGUAUCCUGUCUGAAUAUGGGGGGACCAUCCUCCAAGGCUAAAUACUCCUGACUGACCGAUAGUGAACCAGUACCGUGAGGGAAAGGCGAAAAGAACCCCGGCGAGGGGAGUGAAAAAGAACCUGAAACCGUGUACGUACAAGCAGUGGGAGCACCCUUCGGGGUGUGACUGCGUACCUUUUGUAUAAUGGGUCAGCGACUUAUAUUCUGUAGCAAGGUUAACCGUAUAGGGGAGCCGGAGGGAAACCGAGUCUUAAUUGGGCGUUAAGUUGCAGGGUAUAGACCCGAAACCCGGUGAUCUAGCCAUGGGCAGGUUGAAGGUUGGGUAACACUAACUGGAGGACCGAACCGACUAAUGUUGAAAAAUUAGCGGAUGACCUGUGGCUGGGGGUGAAAGGCCAAUCAAACCGGGAGAUAGCUGGUUCUCCCCGAAAGCUAUUUAGGUAGCGCCUCGUGAAUUCAUCUCCGGGGGUAGAGCACUGUUUCGGCUAGGGGGCCAUCCCGGCUUACCAACCCGAUGCAAACUGCGAAUACCGGAGAAUGUUAUCACGGGAGACACACGGCGGGUGCUAACGUCCGUCGUGAAGAGGGAAACAACCCAGACCGCCAGCUAAGGUCCCAAAGUCAUGGUUAAGUGGGAAACGAUGUGGGAAGGCCCAGACAGCCAGGAUGUUGGCUUAGAAGCAGCCAUCAUUUAAAGAAAGCGUAAUAGCUCACUGGUCGAGUCGGCCUGCGCGGAAGAUGUAACGGGGCUAAACCAUGCACCGAAGCUGCGGCAGCGAACGUAUCACCCAAGACAACUUUACGGAGUUGACGAUUGACGGAGCGAAGCGACGUCAAAGCGUUCAUUAAAGUCGAGUUGGCUUAGGGAUACGUUCGUUGGGUAGGGGAGCGUUCUGUAAGCCUGUGAAGGUGUGUCGUGAGGCAUGCUGGAGGUAUCAGAAGUGCGAAUGCUGACAUAAGUAACGAUAAAGCGGGUGAAAAGCCCGCUCGCCGGAAGACCAAGGGUUCCUGUCCAACGUUAAUCGGGGCAGGGUGAGUCGACCCCUAAGGCGAGGCCGAAAGGCGUAGUCGAUGGGAAACGGGUUAAUAUUCCCGUACUUGGUGUUACUGCGAAGGGGGGACGGAGAAGGCUAUGUUGGCCGGGCGACGGUUGUCCCGGUUUAAGCGUGUAGGUGUGUGUUCCAGGUAAAUCCGGUUCACUUUAACACUGAGGCGUGACGACGAGGCACUACGGUGCUGAAGCAACAAAUGCCCUGCUUCCAGGAAAAGCCUCUAAGCAUCAGGUAACAUCAAAUCGUACCCCAAACCGACACAGGUGGUCAGGUAGAGAAUACCAAGGCGCUUGAGAGAACUCGGGUGAAGGAACUAGGCAAAAUGGUGCCGUAACUUCGGGAGAAGGCACGCUGACACGUAGGUGAAGUGAUUUACUCAUGGAGCUGAAGUCAGUCGAAGAUACCAGCUGGCUGCAACUGUUUAUUAAAAACACAGCACUGUGCAAACACGAAAGUGGACGUAUACGGUGUGACGCCUGCCCGGUGCCGGAAGGUUAAUUGAUGGGGUCAGCGUAAGCGAAGCUCCUGAUCGAAGCCCCGGUAAACGGCGGCCGUAACUAUAACGGUCCUAAGGUAGCGAAAUUCCUUGUCGGGUAAGUUCCGACCUGCACGAAUGGCGUAAUGAUGGCCAGGCUGUCUCCACCCGAGACUCAGUGAAAUUGAACUCGCUGUGAAGAUGCAGUGUACCCGCGGCAAGACGGAAAGACCCCGUGAACCUUUACUAUAGCUUGACACUGAACAUUGAGCCUUGAUGUGUAGGAUAGGUGGGAGGCUUUGAAGUGUGGACGCCAGUCUGCAUGGAGCCGACCUUGAAAUACCACCCUUUAAUGUUUGAUGUUCUAACGUGGACCCGUAAUCCGGGUUGCGGACAGUGUCUGGUGGGUAGUUUGACUGGGGCGGUCUCCUCCUAAAGAGUAACGGAGGAGCACGAAGGUUGGCUAAUCCUGGUCGGACAUCAGGAGGUUAGUGCAAUGGCAUAAGCCAGCUUGACUGCGAGCGUGACGGCGCGAGCAGGUGCGAAAGCAGGUCAUAGUGAUCCGGUGGUUCUGAAUGGAAGGGCCAUCGCUCAACGGAUAAAAGGUACUCCGGGGAUAACAGGCUGAUACCGCCCAAGAGUUCAUAUCGACGGCGGUGUUUGGCACCUCGAUGUCGGCUCAUCACAUCCUGGGGCUGAAGUAGGUCCCAAGGGUAUGGCUGUUCGCCAUUUAAAGUGGUACGCGAGCUGGGUUUAGAACGUCGUGAGACAGUUCGGUCCCUAUCUGCCGUGGGCGCUGGAGAACUGAGGGGGGCUGCUCCUAGUACGAGAGGACCGGAGUGGACGCAUCACUGGUGUUCGGGUUGUCAUGCCAAUGGCACUGCCCGGUAGCUAAAUGCGGAAGAGAUAAGUGCUGAAAGCAUCUAAGCACGAAACUUGCCCCGAGAUGAGUUCUCCCUGAGACUUAGAGUCUCCUGAAGGAACGUUGAAGACGACGACGUUGAUAGGCCGGGUGUGUAAGCGCAGCGAUGCGUUGAGCUAACCGGUACUAAUGAACCGUGAGGCUUAACCUU
rnacentral:rRNA from 1 species